rnacentral:rRNA from 1 species
AUUGAACGCUGGCGGCAUGCUUUACACAUGCAAGUCGAACGGAUUUUGGAGCUUGCUCCAGAGUUAGUGGCGAACGGGUGAGUAAUAUAUCGGAACGUACCCGGCAAUGGGGGAUAACGUAGCGAAAGUUACGCUAAUACCGCAUAUGCCCUGAGGGGGAAAGCAGGGGACCAGUAAUGGCCUUGCGUUGUCGGAGCGGCCGAUAUCGGAUUAGCUAGUUGGUGAGGUAAAGGCUCACCAAGGCGACGAUCCGUAGCGGGUCUGAGAGGAUGAUCCGCCACACUGGGACUGAGACACGGCCCAGACUCCUACGGGAGGCAGCAGUGGGGAAUUUUGGACAAUGGGCGAAAGCCUGAUCCAGCCAUGCCGCGUGAGUGAAGAAGGCCUUCGGGUUGUAAAGCUCUUUCAGGUGGAAAGAAAAGGUUACGGAUAAUACCUGUAACUGACGACGGUACCAUCAGAAGAAGCACCGGCUAACUACGUGCCAGCCGCCGCCGUAA